rnacentral:rRNA from 1 species
GAACUGCGAAUGGCUCAUUAAAACAGUUAUAGUUUAUUUGAUGGUGCCUUACUACACGGAUACCUGUAGUAAUUCUAGAGCUAAUACGUGCGUAAAAUCCCGACUUUAGUCGGAAGGGAUGUAUUUGUUAGGUAACAAAAGCCAACACGAGCUUCGGCUCGGUUGUAUGGUGAGUCAUAACAACUGUUCGGAGCGCAUGGCCUCGUGCCGGCGCUAGGUCAUUCAAAUUUCUGCCCUAUCAGCUUUCGAUGGUAGUGUAGUGGACUACCAUGGCUUUGUCGGGUAACGGAGAAUUAGGGUUCGAUUCCGGAGAGGGAGCCUGAGAAACGGCUACCACAUCUAAGGAUGGCAGCAGGCGCGCAACUUACCCAAUCCUGACUCAGGGAGGUAGUGACAAGAAAUAACAUCACCGGGCUUUUAAAGGUCUGGUGUAUGGAAUGAGUACAAUGUAAACACCUUAACGAGGAUCCAUUGGAGGGCAAGUCUGGUGCCAGCAGCCGCGGUAAUACCAGCUCCAAUAGCGUAUAUGUCCUUUGCUGUGGUUAAAAAGCUCGUAGUUGGAUUUCUGACCUGGUGCGCCUAUCCCUUCGUCUUCGGACGUGAGCGCGAUGGCGCGCACCGGUCAUCUUUCGCGAGAGCAGUUGUGCCCUUAGUUGGGUUUACGGCUGGGAUCGCGGACUUUUACUUUGAAAAAAUUAGAGUGUUCAAGGCAGGCGUUUCGCCUGAAUAGUCCAGCAUGGAAUAAUAAGAUAGGACUUUGGUUCUAUUUUGUUGGUUUCUAGGGCCAGAGUAAUGAUUGAUAGGGAAAGUUGGGGGUGCUAGUAUUGAACGGCCAGCGGUGAAAUGCUCGGAUUCGUUCAAGACUAACGUAUGCGAAAGCGUUCGCCAAGGAUGUCUUCUUUAAUCAAGAACGAAAGUUGGGGGAUCGAAGACGAUCAGAUACCGUCGUAGUCCCAACCAUAAACUAUACCGGCUGGGGAUCAGUGAACGUUGAGAUUGACUUCAUUGGCACCCUAUGAGAAAUCAAAGCCUUUGGGUUCCGGGGGGAGUAUGGUCGCAAGGCUGAAACUUAAAGGAAUUGACGGAAGGGCACCACCAGGCGUGGAGCUUGCGGCUUAAUUUGACUCAACACGGGGAAACUUACCAGGUCCAGACACAGGAAGGAUUGACAGGUUGAAGACCUUUCUUGAUUCUGUGGGUGGUGGUGCAUGGCCGUUAUUAGUUGGUGGAGUGAUCUGUCUGGUUAAUUCCGUUAACGAACGAGACCUUGGCCUGCUAAUUAGUUGGCACCAUUUCGAUGGCGUCCAACUUCUUAGAGGGACUAUCUGUGAUGAGCAGAUGGAAGUGCGAGGCUAUAACAGGUCUGUGAUGCCCUUCGACGUUCUGGGCCGCACGCGUGCUACACUGAUGAGUUCAACGAGUUCGAUCAUUCUUGGCCGAUAGGUCUGGGAAAUCUUUGAACGCUCAUCGUGAUUGGGAUAGAUGCUUGCAAUUUUUCAUCUUGAACGAGGAAUGCCUAGUAAUCGCAAGUCAUCAACUUGCAAUGAUUACGUCCCUGCCCUUUGUACACACCGCCCGUCGCUCCUACCGAUUGAGCGGUCCGGUGAGGUGCAAGGAUCGGUGGCGGUGGUCUUUGACCCCGACGCUGAGAAUUGCACCAAGCCUUACUGCUUAGAGGAAGGAGAAGUCGUAACAAGGUUUCCGUAGGUG